rnacentral:rRNA from 1 species
GGAUGAACGCUAGCGGCAGGCCUAACACAUGCAAGUCGAGGGGUAACAUGCGAGCUUGCUCGUGAUGACGACCGGCGGACGGGUGCGUAACGCGUAUGCAACCUACCUCAUACUGGAGCAUAGCCCUUGGAAACGGGGAUUAAUACUCCAUGGUAUCAUGAAUUCGCAUGUUUUCAUGAUUAAAGAAUUACGGUAAGAGAUGAGUAUGCGUCCCAUUAGCUAGUUGGUAAGGUAACGGCUUACCAAGGCGACGAUGGGUAGGGGGACUGAGAGGUUGACCCCCCACACUGGUACUGAGACACGGACCAGACUCCUACGGGAGGCAGCAGUGAGGAAUAUUGGUCAAUGGAGGCAACUCUGAACCAGCCAUGCCGCGUGCAGGAAGAAUGCCCUACGGGUUGUAAACUGCUUUUAUUUGGGAAGAAACCCCUCUACGUGUAGAGGACUGACGGUACCAUACGAAUAAGGACCGGCUAACUCCGUGCCAGUAGCCGCGGUAAUACGGAGGGUCCAAGCGUUAUCCGGAUUUAUUGGGUUUAAAGGGUCCGUAGGCGGGAAAAUAAGUCAGUGGUGAAAGCCGACAGCUCAACUGUCGAACUGCCAUUGAUACUGGAGAUCUUGAGUACAAAUGAAGUAGGCGGAAUGAGUCAUGUAGCGGUGAAAUGCAUAGAUAUGACUCAGAACACCAAUUGCGAAGGCAGCUUACUAACAUGUAACUGACGCUGAGGGACGAAAGCGUGGGGAGCGAACAGGAUUAGAUACCCUGGUAGUCCACGCCGUAAACGAUGAUUACUCGAUGUUGGGGGACAUUGACCCCCUCAGUGCCGUAGCUAACGCAUUAAGUACCCCGCCUGGGGAGUACGGCCGCAAGGCUGAAACUCAAAGGAAUUGACGGGGACCCGCACAAGCAGUGGAGCAUGUUGCUUAAUUCGAUGCAACGCGAAGAACCUUACCAGGGCUUGACAUCCGAGGAACCUCCUGGAAACAGGAGGGUGCCUUCGGGAACCUCGAGACAGGUGCUGCAUGGCUGUCGUCAGCUCGUGCCGUGAGGUGUUAGGUUAAGUCCUGCAACGAGCGCAACCCCUAUCUUUAGUUGCCAGCGAUUCGGUCGGGGACUCUAAAGAGACUGCCAGCGCAAGCUGUGAGGAAGGUGGGGAUGACGUCAAAUCAUCACGGCCCUUACGUCCUGGGCUACACACGUGCUACAAUGGUAGAGACAGAGGGCAGCCACCUGGCGACAGGGAGCGAAUCCUUAAACUCUAUCUCAGUUCGGAUCGAAGUCUGCAACUCGACUUCGUGAAGCUGGAAUCGCUAGUAAUCGCGCAUCAGCCAUGGCGCGGUGAAUACGUUCCCGGGCCUUGCACUCACCGCC